rnacentral:rRNA from 1 species
UACAACUUUCAACAACGGAUCUCUUGGCUCUCGCAUCGAUGAAGAACGCAGCGAAAUGCGAUAAGUAAUGUGAAUUGCAGAAUUCAGUGAAUCAUCGAAUCUUUGAACGCACCUUGCGCCCUUUGGCAUUCCGAAGGGCACACCUGUUUGAGUGUCG